CUCACCAGAGUAACAAUUGGAGGGCAAGUCUGGUGCCAGCAGCCGCGGUAAUUCCAGCUCCAAUAGCGUAUAUUAAACUUGUUGCAGUUAAAAAGCUCGUAGUUGAAUUUUUGCGUGGUGUUAAUGUUGACUGAUGUCGAGAUUGCACUUCGCUUUUGGGAUUUUUCCCUUUUUACUUUGAGAAAAUUAGAGUGUUUCAAGCAGACUUUUGUCUUGAAUACUUCAGCAUGGAAUAAUAGAGUAGGACUUUGGUUCUAUUUUGUUGGUUUGUGAACCUUAGUAAUGGUUAAUAGGAACGGUUGGGGGCAUUCGUAUUUAACUGUCAGAGGUGAAAUUCUUAGAUUUGUUAAAGACGAACUACUGCGAAAGCAUUUGCCAAGGACGUUUUCAUUAAUCAAGAACGAAAGUUAGGGGAUCGAAGACGAUCAGAUACCGUCGUAGUCCUAACCAUAAACUAUGCCGACUAGGGAUUGGAGGUCGUCAUUUUUCCGACUCCUUCAGCACCUUGAGAGAAAUC
rnacentral:rRNA from 1 species